AAUUUAAUAUUAAAUUAGGUUACUCUGUAAAUAUCCGUACAUGAACGGCUCCUAAAUGUAUCUCUACUGCUUGCUCGAGGCGAAAUUGGAGAAAUUCUAAAUUUUAACGUUGAAUUGAUUGGGAAAUAGGAAGCAUACUCUGUACACUUCAAUUUUGGGUUGUCUUUGGUUGUUUGUAUUGUAUUUUAUCCAAAAAGAAGAUGGGUAGCAGAAAUGGCGGUGGAGCUCCUACGAUGAUAAAGAAGAAGACAAUCCGAUUUUAAAAUGUCCUUCAACCUCGCUCUUCGCUCCCUUCUCACUACCUGUUCUAAAGAGGCUAGGAUUUGAGUAAAGAAUUUCCAAAUUUUACAAGUACAGAGCAAGAACGUCUCUACCAGCAUUUAUUCGGGUUCAUUCUUUUUUCCCCCUUCAAUUGCCAUAUAAAUAGUUCACUUUCGCAUGCAAUUCGUAUUCCAGGAAUAUCUUCUUAUUAUUUAUGUUCUCUCGAUCCUUAAUAGAAGUAUUCCUACUUCUCAAAAAUAAUAAAUCUAAAAGAGGAAAAAGUAAUAUAUAUUUCAACACUAUCUGGAACGAGUUUUUUUUUUUCUUAGAUUUUAACAGCGAGCUCCUUUUUGUCCAAUCCUUUAACCAAUGGCGCUACGGAUCAUAUUCCGGUCAUUACCACUUUGCAUGGGAGUAUAAAGGUAAAAUAUGGGGGAGGGAUACGACCAUUUAGAUUCUGGAGGUCAUAUCAUUCCUUGAGCUGUAAUUAUCUAGAAGUUUCACGAAGAUUUUUGGAUUAAUAAUGUGUCCUGAAAGACCCAGGUAGGAACUGCCCUUGAUACUGUGGGACAGCUUGUGGAAGAACAAUGUCUUGACCCUUUCUUUUCUGAUAAGUAGGUAUCUAUCUGGUUUCUAACAUUGUCUGAAUGUUGGGUGCUUAACUGAUAACAGUGGAUAACAUUUUUUUAGUUCAAUCCUAUUUCAACAUUUGCUGUUUCAGAUUGAAUUGUCAAAGAACUGUUAUAUUAGCUUCUUAUUCUGGAUGUUAGAA